AUUCCACACUGCCAAGAAAAGCCUCUAGCGAGGUGAGAGGUGCCCGUACCGCAAACCGACACAGGUAGGCGAGGAGAGAAUCCUAAGGUGAUCGAGAGAACUCUCGUUAAGGAACUCGGCAAAAUGACCCCGUAACUUCGGGAGAAGGGGUGCUCUGUUAGGGUGCAAGCCCGAGAGAGCCGCAGUGAAUAGGCCCAGGCGACUGUUUAGCAAAAACACAGGUCUCUGCGAAGCCGUAAGGCGAAGUAUAGGGGCUGACGCCUGCCCGGUGCUGGAAGGUUAAGAGGAGCGCUUAGCGUAAGCGAAG
rnacentral:rRNA from 1 species